rnacentral:lncRNA from 1 species
CUACAGAUGGUGCAGAAGGAAGCGGGCUUCAAUUACUGGUUAGAGCUAUCUACUGGGAGAUCCCAUCCUCCUAACUUUAGAGUGCCUAUUCCAAACUGAAUUCUUCACAAGUCAGGACACUUUGUGAAAUAGCACCUAGUGGGAUGAGAGACCAAAUUACCAUAUUCUCCUUGUCCUUAGCAUUCAAAAUUUGCUAUUCACUAUUUUCUGAAAUAUCCUGCUCAGCUGUAACAGUCAUUGACCUUGAAUUCAUUGAACAAAUUAUAUAUUGCAGAGUAUAUGGUAAUAUCAUCACCUUAUUGUUAGUGAAUCACAGGGAUCCAUAGAAGCCUGUUAUUGAUUCUCAGCAUAGCUCCAUAAUAGAAGACCAAUUAGUUUUUUUAGCCACACCUGUGGCCUUUAAUUACAUUUUUUAAAGAACUGUCAGACAUACUGGGGGACUUAUGACAUUUAUGACAUUAUAUCAAAUAUAGCGUUUAUAGUGAAAGCAUAUCUUAAAUCCCAAAUGAUGAUCAACAAAGUUUUCAUAAAAUAUUUUGAUCUUUCAUUUAUUUGUAGUAGCUUUGUGUAUGGCAUAAUUGUCUUUCUGGAUGGGUUUUCAGGAACCGUGAGUUUCAGAAGGUUAAACUUGAAUGUAAAUUUGAUGAAUGAAUGGAUUAAUUCAUGGUGACUUAUUAAUUACUGUAUCUAUAAAAUGAGGCUAACACCUAUAGAAUGUGUAAUAUAUGUGUAGUAUGUGAAUAUAUAUUUCAUUGUAAUAUUUUCACUGCUCUGUGUUAAGAAUAAUGAUUAAAAUACACCUUGAAUAGUAUUAGGCUGGAGGUACAUAUUCACCACUCUUUUAUUGUAAGAUAUCAGCCCAUUCACAUAUUUGUAUUACCUGUCUAGUAAUAUAAAGCAUUUUAAUUUCCAAACGUAUAAGUUACUUACAAUGUCUAAAUAUGAAAUAAACAGAGAUAUUAAAAAAGCAAAAUAUUACAGCAUCAAAGUCCUCAUUUCCCAUUUGUUUACACUUAUUAUGUUCCUAUAGUCUGUAAUUUCCGGGCCGUCACUAUUAGUUUAUUUUGCCUGAGAGAUAUUUUUUGCAAAUAAAAAUAUUGGUUGCCUUUCAGUUUAGAAAUUCAGUCCAUUCAAAUCAACCAUCUGGCCUAAUUAAGUCUUCAAGGAGAAAACUCAAUUUCAAAACCAUGUAUAUCCUAACAAAUCAUUGAUAUCGAUACUUGGUAAAAUAUUUGGGGAGAAUUUUAAUAAUCCCCACUGGAUGUCUUAAUGACUUUCAGCAGCACGUUGCUGCAUAUAAAAUGAAUACAAAAGGUCUUAUUCAUUAUUUGAGAUUUGGGUACACAGAGGAUUCCUUACGUUUUCCUGGUUUUAUUUAGACUAAUAAGAUAUAUGGGUAAUUCCGUCUAGUGGCUUAUUUGUUGUAUGAUUUUGGCUAGUUUAUGUAACCUCAAUAAGUAUCAAUGAACUCUUAUUGAAAGCAAGUGUUAUGAACAUAAAGAAAUAUAUGCAAUAUGUGUGACAUUUAGGAAGCAUUUCAUGUAUUGCGUCUGUUAUUAAUGAGCACUAAUUAGAAAACACAUUGGAAAACAAUGGCACGUAAUCAAAGUAACAGAUAAAUCAAAGGCUUUGCUGUUUUGUUCUGUUGUGCAUUAUGUGCUUGUCUGGUUGUUCUCUGUAUAUUUUUUUUAUUCACAUUUUCCUUUGAGUAAUAUCACAAUUAGUUUACAUUCUCUGAAUACCUGCCAGCAGAUGACUGGAAGGUAGAAUCUUGACUGCCAAAGUACUAGUGGGUAUUAUUAAAUGAUUCCAAGGACAUUUCGUAUCUGGGUCAUUAAGAAUAAAUUAUUUGUUCUUGUCAAUUCAUAUUACCAAAUGAAACUAAGAUGGUGUUAAACUGGUCCACUGCAGUCUUAUACCAUCUGCACCUGUGUUAUGCCAUUGCUCACCUUCAGGAGACAAUAAGAAAAACAUAAAUCUUGGUACUCAGCUCUGCAUAUAAUGGGCAGUAGAUAAAAUGUGAAAAUUAAGUGAAGAAGUAAAACGUUAAAACAAAAACUCCAUCAUUUGUCCUAUUAAUAGAGUGAAUUCCAUGCAUUCUUCCUGUCAUUGUGUCACUUGUUACAUUUAAGAGAUAGUCUUAUGAGCAGCUUCAAAUCUUCUAUAUGCAUUGGUCACAGGCAAAUAAAUAUGACUCACUGUAAAUAAUUUUACUCAAUUAAAGUGUGAACUGAUUUAAAAUAAAGAUUUAUUUCUUGGUGUUGUAUUCUAUUUUGAAAAAUGCAGAAUAUUCUAGAUUUGACAUGACAACAAUAUACUCGUACCACAAAUGAGAAGAUUUAUUGCCUUCUAUCCUCUCCAACCUUGGCACAAGGUGUAAAAAAUAAUUGUUUCUGCAUUUAUUGCCAUCUGUUAUAUGAUAAGAUCAACUGGCCUUUUUUUUUUCUGUUUGUGGUGCUUUUUAAGGUUUUUCUUUGGCACUCAGGUCACACCAUCUGAUUUUGCGGCUUUGUAGUUGGCUUAAAUAAGUGUGUGCUUGCUGCUUGUUCUCAUAGAGACUCAGUUCUCAAUGGCUAUUGCCUUAGAUUAUCUGCUGGAGUAAAUUGGUUUCAAUCCAGUAGAAUAUCUUCCUUUGCACUUAUUUGCAAAGCCAUCUAGUCUCUUGUGUAAGAUUUUGGUUUCUUUCCAAUUUUUGCAGCUGUGGGCUAGUAGAAUGAUUACGUUUGAGUUGAAUAUCCUGUUUUAUAUCCAUGCUUUUAGUUUUUGUAGACUUCUUGUAAAUAAUUUAGGAAAUAAUUUCUCCUUCAUUUUGACCAUUAUUGAUCCUAUGAGUUUAUAAUAUAAAGCAACUUAAGUUCUAGAUUGAUGUUAAUUUGGGGUCUGAAGAGUGUUUGGUUUGGCAUAAUUAUGAGAUUUAGUAAGCUAGUUGGGUUUUGUGGGGUAUUUUGCUAAAUUUAAUGUCUUUGGAUUUUCUCUGUAGGCAACUUGCAAGGCAGUGAUGUCUGAUUGCACAUGGUUUAUUUGUACGUUCCUGAAUUCUCUUCUUCUCAUCGAUGUCACCAUCAAAGAAGGAUAUCCUCCAUUUGAGGAUUUGAAAAUACAUGAGUUAAGAGAGAGUCAGUGUGGGAAAAGAAAGAUAGCAGACUGGGGAGAGGCCCUUGCUACCACAUAUCUGAUAAAAGGGAAGUGCUGUUUUAACAAAGUCAAGAAAAACAAGGGUUUCAAGAAAAAAAUGUCAGAAGUUUGAAAUUAUUAUCAUCAGUUGUGUUCCUUUAUCUCAUGUUUUAAAGUAUAGAGUAAUGAUUAUUCUAGAAUCUAAAUGAUCAGAAAGCUAUUAUUUUCCACAUACCCAGAGAUGAUAUUUUUUUUUACAAUAGAUCAGCUACAUUUGACCCCAUCUGAAACAAAAAUGUAAAUAGUUGGCUCAAAGCAGUGCCUGAAUACAUGCUGAUUUAACAAUUACUCUGUGCUGAAUUGCCUGAAACAGCUGAUCCUGCAUAAAAGAUGCUCAUGUCUUCCUGUUAACAUGAUGUGUUAACAUUCUUGCACAACUAUUAGGAUUUGCACUCAUUAACUUCUGUGAAGCUCACAUAGUGCUAAAUUCUUGAAUGUGAGUCGUAGUACACCAUUUGUUUUGUUUCAGUUUGUUCUCAAACAGUGGAAGUUCAGUAUUCAGUGUUCUGCCUACAUUAUUAUUCUUUUAUAAAUUAAGUAAAUGACUUCUAUUGUUUACAAAGACUUUUCUUUUCUUCUUUAGAAAAUCCUUCAAAGAACAACAAAUACAACCAUCCAUAUAACCACCAGGAAAUUUCAGUAACAAGUUAACAAUUACCAAUUUUAUCAUAUUAAAAAAUUGUAUGUAGAUAGACUUAGAGUUUUUUUUUUAGUGAUUUCAAGAUUGUUUUAGAUGUUUUGGACAUCUAAGAUCAAGAUGAUGGAGGAGUAGGAUGUGGUGCUCACCUUCUCCCACAAACACAAUUCUGUGUCCCAUAUAUAUAUAUAUAUACACACACACACACACACACAUACAUGCAGGUAGAACAAUUCUCAGAGAACAAUUCUCACAGAAUUCUACUGAAUGCUAAGAGAAGACUUCAGACUUACAAAAAGGUCAAUAAAACUUCCACAUAAAUGGGUAGAAGUAAAGGGGAAAAAAUGAGAGAAAGAGAUAAAAGAGAGAAAAAAAAAAAGAAUCAGGACAGGACCAGCACUCCUGAGAGGGAGCCACGAAAGGAAUCCACACACUGAGAACAACCUAACUGAUCAGCUAGGAUGGAGGGGGAGCCUCCAAGUCUCUGAGAAAAGCACAACAGUCAGACUGAGGAGGGCAAAGCAGAGAGCCAGUCACACAGACCAUCUGUACCACUGUCCAGUGUACCACAGCCUAAGAUGCUCAGGCAGGGGCUGGGAGCUAAGCUCUGGCUUCUGAGGUCAGUCCCUGAGAGAAGACCCAGGUUGACUGUGUGGAAACAGGCUGAGAGGGCUAGGGACCUUGUGCCACCACCAGGGGAGUGCAGGAGGUAAAGUGGGCUCAACAGAGGAGCAAGGCACCAUUGUUAGAGCAUGUAAGGGGGUACAGGAAUGGCAUAGAAACUUCUUUCUCUGCACACAUGUGGGCUCUCAGGCCAUGUGGGAACUCCUGCCUGAGCUACAGGGUGUGGGUGCAAACCACUGCAUCCAUCUUGGACUCCAGAGGUGGGUGUGACUUAGCACUGCUGAGGGUCCUAUGACCAAGACUGGUCUGCCACCCUAGUCACCCCAGGCGUUGCUGCCAUAGAGUGCCUGGCAACUGAGAGCCACCUGUUGCUCCCCCCCUCUAGAAAUGCACACACCCCGCCGUUGCCCCUGUCAGGGGCCCCAGGCACUUCCUCCACUUCCAUGGGGGUCAGUACCACUGCUAAAAGUCCUGAAACUAGGCAUAGCUGGCAGCACCCAACUCCCCAUGGGUUGCUGCCACUGCCAAGGGUCCAUCGACCAGGCACCACCUGUAUGUGCUGCCUUCCUGGAAGCAUGUGCAGUUUAUGCACCUUCACAACCCCUAUCAAGGGGAUAAUGGUCUGCAGACAAUGAGGAAGGAGGCAGAAAGCAUCCAAACCAAAAGUAACCCUCAUG